rnacentral:tRNA from 1 species
AACAAAUUGGCUGAAAGACUAAGCAAUAGAUUGUAAAUCUAAAAAAAAAGGUUUAAUUCCUUUAUUUGUUA